rnacentral:rRNA from 1 species
GACGAACGCUGGCGGCGUGCUUAACACAUGCAAGUCGAACGGAGUGGCGAACGGGUGAGUAACACGUGGGUGAACUGCCCUGCACUUCGGGAUAAGCUGGGGAAACUGGGUCUAACACCGGAUAGUGCAAGAUGAGGUCGCGGCUUAUCAGCUUGUUGGUGGGGUAAUGGCCUGCCAAGGCGUCGACGGGUAGCCGGCUUGAGAGGGUGUACGGCCACAUUGUGACUGAGAAACGGACCAGACUCCUACGGGGGGCAGCGGUGGGGAAUAUUGCACAUUGUGCGGAAGCCGACGGCAGCGACGCCGCGUGGGGGAUGGAGGCCUUCGGGUUGUAAACUCCUUUCGACAGGGACGCGGUACCUGUAUAAGAAGCACCGGCUAACUACGUGCCAGCAGCAGCGGUAAUAC